rnacentral:rRNA from 1 species
AUUGAACGCUGGCGGCAGGCCUAACACAUGCAAGUCGAACGAGCGGCGGACGGGUGAGUAAUGUCUGGGAAACUGCCUGAUGGAGGGGGAUAACUACUGGAAACGGUAGCUAAUCCCGCAUACCAUCAGAUGUGCCCAGAUGGGAUUAGCUUGUUGGUGGGGUAACGACUCACCAAGUCGACGAUCCCUAGCUGGUCUGAGAGGAUGACCAGACACUCUGGAACGUAUACACGGUCCAGACGCCUGCUGGAGGCAGCAGUGGGUGAUAUUGCACGAUGGGGGCAAGCCUGAUGCGGCCAGUCCUCGUGUGUGAGGAGGGCCUUAGGGUUGUAAAGUACUUUCAGCGGGGAGGCGUUACCCGCAGAAGAAGCACCUUCUAGCUCCGUGCCAGCAGCCGCGGUAAUUC